UUUGUUCCCGGAGGAGGAUGACUGUGUGGCAGCAGUUCCACGCCAGGAUGGAGCAAGCACAGUACUCCAAGGCACCAGAGAGGUACUACCCGCCUCCCCAUCAUGUAGAGGAUGACUAUGUAGAGCAAGAAGGCAAAUGUAGGAGGAAGUUUUAGCUUUGCACAUGAAGCUUCUAAAAAACGUCUGACUGAAAAGAAUGUCAAGCCGAG